UCUGUAGCUCAGACGGUAGAGCAACCUUCCUCGGAGGGUUUGUCGCAGGUUCGACUCCUGCCAGA
rnacentral:tRNA from 1 species